rnacentral:snRNA from 1 species
GGACCUGCCUGAACUUGACCUUGCUCAGACGCGUUCCCCAUUGAUCAGGGAUUGAUUUUGUGAUCUGGCUGGCUAGGCAGGUGCUGCUUCCCCCCCCCCCCUCUCCACUGCACCUGAUCCCAUCCUUGGUCACAGAGGAGACAGAGGAGGAACAUUCUUCGGGGAUGGGGAAGGGACUAACAAUGUUUCCCUACUUGAACCUCCCAACAAGCUUGCAGUAUCUAUUUCAAGAGAAUGUAGCUUAGUUUUCAGGAACCUAGGCAAUGAGUUGCUACAUGUGGAAGUGUCCCUUUAAAU